GCACUCUUAGCUCAGUUGGUAGAGCAACUGACUCUUAAUCAGUGGGUCCAGGGUUCGAAUCCCUGAGGGUGUA
rfam:Bacteroides reticulotermitis JCM 10512 DNA, contig: contig00015.